GGGAGAUGAUGAGUGGUCAUCACUCGCAAUUGUUUUUGCGUGAUGGGUGUCUGCCCCACAGCCUGGUUACGACAAUCAGGGCACCCCUUUUUGUUGCCAUCUGAUCCC
rnacentral:snoRNA from 1 species